UACAGUGCCGGGCACCUCGUAUUGUUCCUCAUAAACCUUAUUUUUUACUGUCCAUGACCACCUCCUUAACGGCUUUGGCUUUUGUUCACACGUUAACUGCUAUAUAGCUUCUCGUAAAAGUAUCCUGUUGCUCAAUAAUAGUUGACCCGUGCAGAGGGAUAAGAUGACCGUUAAUCAUAAUAGAACUUCAAGUGAUCCCAACAGUUCACGCAUGAUGAGCUAUUUAAUAUUCAUGCCGCACCAACGAGAUCAGGAUGUGAUUAGGAAGGUGAUAUAAGGGAUGCUACUUAUCAGAACCGUGCCAAGACGUCAUCGUGUGAAAUAAAAGAAGACCGGAAAACGUUAUUCGACACGUGCAACGGCCGAACGUGUAAGCAAGUACGUACGGAGCUCUGCAUUUAUCUACGAAGUCGUGACAAGCGGUGCGUGCAGCAUAAAUGGAGGAUUGCCAGCCACACAAAAGCAGGAAGGAUGGCUGAAACUAGGCGUCAGGAUAUUACCACCGUAACACCGAACUCGGCCACACGGACUGAAGCAACGCCGACAACAAUUCUUUCUAGAAAGACGUUCACUCAAGAUGCAUUAUCCACUGUCGAAUUGGGUAAGACUACGGCACCUACGCCUUAAACGGUUCUGAUUGUAUCCGCUAAAACCCUAGUGUCUAAACUGUUAACGAUAUCUCCUCAACACACUGACCCUGAUCGCGGAGAAUCUGAGCUUUCCGUAGCAUUCACAAGUCCUUCAACGCAUGACAACAAUCAACGAGACUCACGCAUUCACAAAUCCGAUAUUGAAAACCAAAUUUCAAUUUCUGAAUCAGCCAAAAAGACAAAUACCGCUAAUAACACUAAAGUCAAUUGUAUCUGCACAGAUAUUCCUCAAGGUAAUAUGACUGCAGUAUUAUCAAUAACCAGCGCAGCGGAAACUGGAAUUUCCGAUAAUGAAACAUAACCUCACCGAAGUAGACGCUACUACAACCGCUAACUGAUGACACACGCAUAACGUUAACAGACGCAACUGAAAAAACGACAGCUGAAUUAUCUGACACUAUUCAUGUCGAAGAGGCCACACCUAGCACGAAGUCUGAAAAUACUUUAACUUACUCUGUUGAGAAAGUGGUGACAGAAUUGGCAACGAUAAAGCCUGGUGAAGCCAGCACUGUAACUCUAACUGAGAAGGCAUUAACAUCACUGAAAAUAGAUCUAGCUAUGGAAAAAUGGCUGGCAAUACGGAUCGUAAGGGCCGGAGGAGAGAGACUACCGUGACUGCCGAGGGACGUGCAGAAGAGAAACCAAAUUACGCAGCUAACAAUGACACAGACGACAACACAAACCCCGCUAAUACUGACAAGAGAAACACUAGCCCAGCGUAACGCUAGCAGACGUAGCUGAAGCUGACGAAGUUAAAGGAACGGCCAGCAAUGUGGAUAGCGUAAGUAAAACGUCGGUAGUAUCGAAAAAUGAACCACUGCUGGUGACCAUUGCCGAAAACGUUACUACGAGGUCAAGCGAGCCUCAUAUAGGUGAGCCAGCAAUUUAGCUGCUCCAUCAAUUGAAGCUCCUAUCAUAGGUUUUGUUCCAGUGACCUCAGCGAGCGCCAGCACGAUGUGUCAGCGGCUAAGAUGGAACGGUGGCCUAUAACAUACUUUAUCCGACACUGGGUUCCAAGUAUUUCCCUUACACGAUUCCGAAGUUAUGGAAACAACUAGAUUAGGACAUCCCGUUAUGUCGAUGCGCAACGUUGAUCGAUCAAAUAAGAUCCAUACCAGCUGACACUCUGUAUAACACCUCAAAUAUAUCGAAUCGUGGGAAAAGGUGUGAACAUUAUUGUUCAUCUCGACCGCAGCACCGUGAGUUUCUUGCUUAAAUAGACUGUUUUGGACGAGCGGUUUCAGGAAAGAAAAUGAUCCUUAAGGAAGAGGAUGCUAGUUUGCUAUAGCUGUACAAUGCUUGGUAGCAUCACGAACAUCAAAGAACUAGGGUAGACACAACAGCGUCAAGCAUUUAAUUAGGGAAUAUAAAAAGGUGUAAUUUAUUGUCAGCCAUUAUUUGUGAGUAACUAAUUGUUCAGUUUGUAUUAGUUAAAUAGAUCGCUUUCGGUAACUAAUUAGAUUGAGUAAAACUUUUGGUGAUCCAACCCUCAGCAGGCUAUCCCCUCCAGUCUAAGCCAUUGGAAUCGGAUGAAUUGGCUUUUACUGGUACUUGUGGCUCACAGCUUUUCGAUUGCUCAGCCUAUUUGUGCGGCGGUAGAGGCAGUUUUCGGUGGCCCUCGCUGACGCAAGGACAACUAAUUGGUAAUAACGCCAGGGAUAGAGCUCAAGAACCACGUCCGUCACCAGGGCGGCCGUCCUGUGCCUCCAUUAAACUAUUUAGUGUUAAAAGUAAGUCAACCUGUAUGCAUAUCUAUUUCAUUAGAUAUUCUAUAGAAAAUAAUGCAUCAACUCUAAAUACGUUGCUGUAGUGUUAUUAUAACUGGAAGUAAAGUUCAGUAGUGAAAUAUUUCUUUAAUGUCGAGUAUUGAGACAGUUGCCUUUGGUAACGACACUAUAACGUUUAAUCAUAUUUUAAAGAUAUUAAUUCGAACGAGGCACACGGACAUUGUACAAUUAAGAAGUGCAGCCAUCUCUUGAAUUGAUCAUUAUUCAAAUUGGCAUUACCAAAAUAGGCCAACUUUAACGUGAAAAAAUAGAACUAGCAUUAGUCAUCCAAAGACAUAUUUGACAUUGAACCGGUAUACUUAGAAUGCUUGUUAUCUCAGUUACUCUAUACUCUGGAUUUAAACCUUUUGCCAUUUUAUCUAAUCCUUUAAGAAAAUUAUGAACACUGGUUCAACUGUAAGCUGCAGCUGAUUGUCGGGAUAACGCAGCAAGUUGCGUUAAGUGAUAGAACCAAGCCGAAAAAAGGGACGAGAGAAUAAUAUCACACGUUCAUGCUCCGAUCCUUAAGAAUUUGUUUUAGUUCAUCAUAAAUCUCUACGUAUAUGUAUGUAUAUAUAUAUAUAUAUAUAUAUAUAUAUCGUAAAAGGUCCAUUAGAAUUAGGUUAUUUCUAUCCAGCACAAUUAUUAUAGUUAUUCACAACAUCAGGUAAAAAACUUAUUUAUUUUUUAUUUAAAGUAGGUAAAAUAGGCUGACAUUCAGUCUACUGCUUGUAGCGGGAGAACGUGAAAUGUGGGAUAUCUGGAUCUUGACGGAUGCGGAAAUUGACUUUAUUAGCAUGGCCAGUUUUUAGCUCUAGCAGGCUGUGACUUGUAGGAACAAGUAACUUUUAAUUGAUAUUCGGCCGGCUUACAAGCGACAGGAUAAAAAUGCAAGCCCCACUUAUCCAACCGAAUAUGGUUUCCACAUCCAAUGCUCCAAUGGACGAGUUUACGUCCACCUCCGUAACACUUGCGCAGACUGACUCGGGUCUGCCCGCUCUUCGAAUCGGCCUAUAACGAACUCCCCAAACAAUAUAUAUGAUAUAGUCUCUCUAUAACCAUAUCAAUCACAUCGCACAAACCUUUAAAGAAAAAUAUCGCACGUAGUGAAAUAUAUACACAAACUUUUUUUGUUCAUUUCACGUUGUUUUUUUCGUAGUGGACUGUCAUGGUAUUGUCGUUUCAUUAUUCCUAUUUUUCAUUUCACCAGUGAAUGACUGGCAACCAUUUUCUAGAAGGUCAGUGGAAAAGAUCACCAAAGACGUACGACUGAGGAGGUUGCAUAUAUAAAAUAUUACAUUAUGGAGAAUUAACACCUCUACAAAUGUCCAGCAAUACAGAAGUCCACAAUUGCUAAACAGGAUUAUUCAUCAUCAGUGAUAAAUCAUUAUCGAUUUAGCCGGCAAGGCCGUAUCGGCUGGACGUAAAGCACGCUUGGUGGCGCUGUUUCCUCUUUCAAUGUGUAUUUACUUUACGUCAUUGUCUAACUAAGUACCUUGCAGCUCGUUUACUCCCCUUCCUUGCCUUUCAUUCAGCUCUUCCUACUUGCCAGCAGCAUUUUUUAAGCCUUGUGCCGUUUGAUUUACUGUUAACGAGGUCUCGCCGUUCAGAUGAGGGCGUCGCUGACGCGAUGAUUCUAUUCUUCCUGAGUGGCCUUGCCCAAGGCCACGACAAGCCACCUGUGGCCUCAUGCUCAAAAUGGCGGCCUUAUGUCAUUGCCGCUGCCCCGUCCAGUCAAAAUGAUAUAAAACUGAACGAACGCCUUUACCACGUAGUCGCCGCGCACUCGGAGUACGAAAAGCUGUAGGCUAAUUGUUAGCCAUGUGACUAAUGAUGGGUACUUAAAUGCGUUUAAAUGAUCGAUUUACGUUUUAUACGACACACAAUAGAUACAAUACGAUAAUAACCUAACCUAAUUCGUCUUCGUGUGAAGGCAGUAACUUUAUUAUUUAAGUAGGUAAGGAUUCUAUAAUAGCAGGUAACUAUAAUAACCAUGAUUGUACUCAGCGUUCACCUUUUUAGAAUUAUCUUCCUUAAAUCUUGGUACUCUUAAACUUUUGGCGAGUUUCUGAAUGAACCUGAAUACCACACCUUCAAGCAAAGAUCUUGUGAGUAAUAAAACAGACACAGGGUUGGACCCCCAAGGAAUAGACAUGUCUACAAUUAUUUCGCCCACGAUUGCCUAAUAGAGUCAAAAAGACACAGGGCUAAAAGACGGUUAGUUUGACAUUUAACUGAGCACGUUGAGAAUUAAAGUAUACAGGUUACUCAGAUGACCCUGAACGAAGUAAUAACAAUUGUUUGAAUAAGGCCUAGUAUUAUAUAAUCGAAUACCAGAGCAUUAAGCAGACGUGUAAACAAAUUCAGAUCAGGUCGUUUCACGUAUUAUAUACAAAUUUCACCAUCUAAUACAUUUGAGAAAUAUUACAGAUGACGGCAUAUAAGGCAUAUUAGGAUAUAUUUUGUUGAAAAUUCGUAGAUAUCUCUGUUGGAGAAUUUUCCAUAAAAUUGUAGCAGACAAGCAGUAAUAAAAGAACAGAAAUUAAUUCAUGCCUGCCGUAGACGUAUGGAGGUGUUAGGGAAGUGAUAACAUUCGUUUAUUUCCUUGCUGACUAUAAGCUUCAAAAAUAUAUUAGCCAGCUUGUAACAACGCGAUGAAAGUUUAAGCAGAAGCUUGUCGCCGGCCAAGUUUAGCGGAAAUCAUAUUGGAGUAGGAUUUUGUCGUAACGCUUCAUAAGUAGAUCCAGAAGAUCCUAUUUAAUGGCACUUGCGGAAAAUAGCUGUAGAACGGUGAAAUUCACAAGUACCGGGUCGUGAACGAGAGCAGAAUGCAGGUAGAAGGUUCGAGUAGGCGAUGACAUGAGAAGGCAGAGCCUGGAUAGUUAGGGCGCGAACUCCAGGAGUGGGUUUUAUCGACAAGUCAAAAGGAAAGUAAACAACGGGACAGAAAAACGAGGAGGGCUCGACCUGCUUCCAAUAGAAGAGUCCAGUCGAUGGGGAAGGAGCUUCUCUUCUUCGUCCGCCAAGUAGCAUCUAAAUAGAGUGGAAAAGCGAACGCCAUUUCUGGUUGUGAAAGUAAUGUUAGUAGAUAAAGAGCUUAUUACACUAUAAGAAAAUUGGAGCUAAAGUAAGUAAAUGGUAUGUUCCAUGGCAGUUAACGGAUUUAGUUAAGGUUAGUGGUGAUCGUUCACGCUGUAGUGAGAAACGUGUCGCGACAGGGCUGGAGACGAGCAUAGGAAGACACAACCGGUGGUGCAGGUCUGCCACAGUCUCAUUGAACCAUUUUCGGGCAAUAGUAUUCCAGGAAAAGAGCGUUUUCAGCCGUGAACCAGUGGGUCUCUAUUUUUUUUUUUGGUAUGUUUUUGCCUAGUCUUUGUUUAGGUUAAAAAAAUACUCGUUAGGCUGUUUCAUUAUCAUGAGCAACAUAAGCUACGUAGUGUUUGUAAGGGCCACAUAGGAGAGUUGUUUUAAAAUAAAGAGACUGAAAAAUCAUGCGAGUCAUCGGCGUCUACACAGAGAAUUCGUUUUCUAUAAUAUGCAGAUAUUUUUAGUUCAGUGGGUUAAUUAGAAGCGAAUUUUUCUUUAGUCAAUUCGUGUUAAUUGGAGCCACAAAGGCAUACUUAUAAAUUACUCGAUUGGUAAUAAGCAGUUGCUAUUAGUGGACAAAAGCAAGUUCCUUUAUUAGCUGAUUCAGGUUAGGCUCCUUGACUAUAAAAGAUAUAUGGGGAUGUUUCGUUGUCCCACAAGGAUUAACCCUCAAAGCCUGUCCUAUUGUGUUUGUAUCUUCAGGCCAAAAUGUUUGAUGUCAAAGGAUACGCAACACACUUUAUGCUGUUACUUGGGAUUCAAUUUCAUAGCCCUGUCAACAGACCAGUAAACAAAAUACAAUUGCAUCAGUUUCAAAAUAGAACGUAUGACGAUGUAUCAGCCUAAAAGUGCGCUGCAUCUUUCGCUCUAGUACAAAGUAUUGGGACAUGUAUGGACCAAUAUUAACUCCCAAGCUAAAUUGAGGCCCAAUUCGCACUCCUACCAUAAAAUAAGAUCGUAUCAAAUAAAAGUACUAUAAGAUCUCAAAAAAUAGCAAAAGAUUCGGCACUAUAUUCGUUUGGUAAAAACUUUGGAGAAGAACACGCAUCACCAAAGACAAAUGACCUGUUCGUUGAUGAGCUGAUUCGAAACAGGUGCCUCAAGCUAUUUUAUAUUGAUCUUCUUUUUUCUUCACGCGUGCACACCUGGUAUCCUACGCUCACUCGUUACAAACGUGAGAUUUUACAGAUUUGUCGAAACCACUUAGCUAAUCUCAUUGAUGUGUUAAACCAAAUGCAACUAUGAUGAUUGUUCUAGGCAGCGACCUUGUGGUGAAGGAUCGGACCACACUUAUUUUAAGUCCAAAGGUAUUUGUAACAAUCCGUACCUCACACAUUUUCAUCAAUAUCAUCAUUUUUUUUGUAUUUAUAAAUAUAAAAAUACAUUGUUGUAGACUCGUCAUUUUCAACUUAAUAUUAUAUGUUCCUUUUAGACUAAACUAGUAUUGUCGGCAAGUAUACUCUGGCUAAUGAAACCUGUCACCCGUGUUCAUUUAUCAGUAAUUAUAUUUAUUAUACAUAAUAUCUUGUGGCAACAACAGUGUUUCGAGACCAUUUCCUGUACUAUACAGUACACAGAUAAAUAUAAGCUAAAAAGCUUAUAUUUUUAAUGUAGUGAUUUUUAAACAUUUUUUUUUUUUUUAGUUUUUAAGGGCAUAAAACAAUUGUCUGAAUGACAACGUCAAUCAUUCAAAGAUAUAUGUAGAUUUGAUGUUAAUGCCCUUUUCGUUUAGGAAAGGAGCAGCUACCUAUGAAAGGUUAUGAAUUAAAUGAAGAAAGCCUUUUGAUUUACUAGUAAAUAAUUAGCUGCUUCCCUUUCAGGCAAUCUCUCUAUACCGAAUUGUAUCAAAGCUUACAGCUUGCAGCCUGGUAAUAUAGCAAAAGCGUUUUGCCGUGUUACCUGGCUGCUCCUAUACCUUUUUUGCGUUGAAUUUAUAUAAGUAAAUAAUACUCUUCUUACCAGUCUUGCUGUCUAUGCGACCCAGUGACCAACGCCUGUAACGCACAUUGGUAGAAAAUGAUUUUCUUUUCAGCUCGAAUCUUUUCUUCUUCUUUUUCGUAUAACCUUUAUGGUAGACAAAAAAAUGGCAUCCAAUCGUCUCCUAAACUGAGGGGGCGUAGUAAGGCUUUAAUCUCAUGACCGACUGCUCUAUAUAUUUGGCAUAUGCUGCCUAUAUUUCAUUUAUAGAAACCUAGAGCCUUAAAUAAUUCUAAAUAUAUUAUUGUCAGAAUUACCUGCAAGAACAUGUUUGCAUGAAACACUGUUAUGUGACAGUCUUUGUAUAAAUAUUACUUUGUGUGAAUAAAUUUUACUCACCUAAUUUUACAUACUUAUAGUGUGUGCAUAGUUAAGUAGAACUAUAUUUAAGCGAUCUAUAUGGUACCUCUAUGAUAUAUAUAUAUAAAACGUAAAAAAGUUCCCGCGCUCUUUUAAUAGUUCUUCUUCUCACUUUUCGUUAGUUAUUGCUUACUUCUGAUGUACCGUUCUAUUAUCUAUUACUCUAUUAUUACGCUGUGAUGGUUUUAAGUGUAAUUUCAACUCGAAAAGGUGUUCGAAAUAAAAAAAAUAAAUAAAUAAA